rnacentral:rRNA from 1 species
UGGGGAAUAUUGCACAAUGGGGGAAACCCUGAUGCAGCAACGCCGCGUGAGUGAUGACGGCCUUCGGGUUGUAAAGCUCUGUCUUCAGGGACGAUAAUGACGGUACCUGAGGAGGAAGCCACGGCUAACUACGUGCCAGCAGCCGCGGUAAUACGGAGGGAGCUAGCGUUGUUCGGAAUUACUGGGCGUAAAGCGCGCGUAGGCGGUUUUUUAAGUCAGAGGUGAAAGCCCGGGGCUCAACCCCGGAAUUGCCUUUGAAACUGGAAAACUUGAAUCUUGGAGAUGUCAGUGGAAUUCCGAGUGUAGAGGUGAAAUUCGUAGAUAUUCGGAAGAACACCAGUGGCGAAGGCGACUGACUGGACAAGUAUUGACGCUGAGGUGCGAAAGCGUGGGGAGCAAACA